AGGAUUCUCCAAUGUUCUCUUCCAAGACAAUAUCCUGACUAAUUCCAAAUCUUGGAACUCCACAUUUAACAGCUCGAUGUGCAGCCUGAGAUUGACUCUCAAUAAUCUCCAAGAUUCAGAAGUGAAACUACUGUGUGCAACCUUGAGGAAUCUAGAUUGUAAAAUACAAAAUCUGAACUGAGUGGUUUGACUGGCUGCAUCACACCAGGAAUAUCUACUUCACAUCUGCCUUUGAAUUAAGAAAAAGCCAGGGUCGAGGCUACUGUUGGAGAAAUUCGGCCCAAGGAAUCAAAGACCAUAAACGAGGAUCGCAGUGAAAUUGACAAAGCGAUGUCGCGGAAGAGAAAUUGACCAGGCUGAAACAGAACUGAUCCUCUGGCAGAUGGCCAGGAUUCGCUUCCUCGAACAGAAGGUGCCGAAGUGCUGAUUGGGAUCCAAUUCCACGUCUUCAACCUGAAGAAAGAUGGACAAUGUGUUCAAAAUAAUGUCAAAUUUUACCCAUGAGCCUUUACAAGAAUUGAAGAUACCGAAGCUUUCAUCAGUGGUUAUGAACUUCUGAACCUGCCUGCAGACUUUCAGCUUCACAAUGCAGGGAUGGAUAAGGCAUCCUCAACCCAUCAAGCCAUUCAUUAAUUUGGCACUGGAGAACUGAUGUGAAAACAUUAAAUGUAUUGAGUAUCAGGGAUUUCAAAACCAUUAAGCCUGGUUACACUUAAGCAUGUCGUGAUAAAAAAAUUAUAUUCAGACCCACACGGCUUGCCAGUCUAAAACAUAUAAAAGGGAUAGUUACCUUAAAAUU